rnacentral:rRNA from 1 species
UUCGCAAUGCCCGAAAGGGUGACGGAGCGACGCCGCGUGGACGACGGAGGCCCUCGGGUUGUAAAGUCCUGUCAGGUGGGAAGAACAGCUUGGAGGUGAAUAACCUUCAAGCCUGACGUUACCAUCAGAGGAAGCACCAGCAAACUUCGUGCCAGCAGCUGCGGUAAUACGAAGGGUGCGAGCGUUGUUCGGAAUCACUGGGCUUAAAGGGCACGUAGGCGGGGAGAUAAAUCAGAAGUGAAAGCCCGGCGCUCAACGUCGGAAUUGCUUUUGAAAAUGUCUCUCUCGAGUUCAGGAGGGGAGAGCGGAACUCUUGGUGGAGCGGUGAAAUGCGUAGAUAUCAAGGGGAACGCCGGCGGCGAAAGCGGCUCUCUGGCCUGAUACUGACGCUGAGGUGCGAAAGCUAGGGGAGCAAAAAGGAUUAGAUACCCUUGUAGUCCUAGCCGUAAACGAUGGGCACUAAGUAGAGGGGUUUU